rnacentral:tRNA from 1 species
AUUUAAGUAGCUUAUAAUAAGAGCAUGACAUUGAAGCUGUUAGGGAGGUUUAUUAACCCUUGGAUA